CUGGGACUCCUGAUGCUAGAUCAAAAGAAACUUUGCAGAUUAUGCUUGCUCUGGAGAAGGUGAGCUGCCAAAUAAGACAUCUGGAUACUGUGAGACUACCAUGUUGGAUAGGCCACAAGUGGGUACUCUGGUCAAAAGUCCCAGCGGAGUAAGAUAUGGAGAGCUAGGCCUAUAAGUGUACAAACUGUGUGAUUGCAUAGGGCUGUGCUAGUGCCUUCCUGAAAAUCUUUAAAGAAUUAUCAGAGGAGCAGGCUAGUUGUUGCAAGAGUGGAUUGUUAUAAGGCAAGCCCAGCUCCUGGAGCUCCUCUCUUAGGCACACUCUCACUUGCCCUUUUGCUCUCCCACCAUGGAAUAGCACAGCAUGAUGGUCCUCACAAGAUGCUGGUGCCAUGCUCUUGGACUUCCCAGUCUCCAGAACUGUGUUCCAGCUAGAAGAUUUGGAUGAAAAGUGAUUCCAAAAAAAUGAGGCAAUCUCAUCCCGAAACUAUUUAAAACUACUCUCCUCUCUCUUGAUAAACCGUCAGUAGGAAGUGUGUCGUUUAUUCCCUCACUCCACACUGGAUUCAUAUGGGCUGAUAGCAGCAGGAUUAAAAAUUUUUUUCAUCAUGAGUUAAA
rnacentral:lncRNA from 1 species